AAUAGGGUUGCUGGAUCAUAUGGCAAACAUGUUUAAUUUUGCAAGAAACUGCCAAAUUGUUUUCCAAAGUGGCUCUACUAUUUUUAAAUUCCCACCAACAGU
rnacentral:pre_miRNA from 1 species